rnacentral:rRNA from 1 species
CCCUUAGAUGUUCUGGGCUACACACGUGCUACACUGGCAGGUUCAGCGAGCUUCAUGCCCUGAUCUGAAAGGAAUGGGAAAUCUUUUCAAAACCUGCCGUGCUUGGGAUAGAUGUUUGCAAUUAUUCAUCUUCAACGAGGAUUGCCUUGUAAGCGCACGUCAUCAGCGUGCAUUGAAUACGACCCUGUAUUCUGUACACACCGCCCGUCGCUCCUACCGAUUGAAGUUUUCGGUGAGUUGACAGGAGGAUUUUUUUGAAACUGGUUCGCCAGUGGAUUUUAGAUCCAAAUGCCAACGAAUCGAUGGCUUUAGAGGAAGGAGAAGUCGUAACA